rnacentral:rRNA from 1 species
GACGAACGCUGGCGGCGUGCUUAACACAUGCAAGUCGAACGGAAAGGCCCUGCUUUUGUGGGGUGCUCGAGUGGCGAACGGGUGAGUAACACGUGAGUAACCUGCCCUUGACUUUGGGAUAACUUCAGGAAACUGGGGCUAAUACCGGAUAGGAGCUCCUGCUGCAUGGUGGGGGUUGGAAAGUUUCGGCGGUUGGGGAUGGACUCGCGGCUUAUCAGCUUAUUGGUGGGGUAGUGGCUUACCAAGGCUUUGACGGGUAGCCGGCCUGAGAGGGUGACCGGCCACAUUGGGACUGAGAUACGGCCUAGACUCCUACGGGAGGCAGCAGUGGGGAAUAUUGCACAAUGGGCGGAAGCCUGAUGCAGCAACGCCGCGUGCGGGAUGACGGCCUUCGGGUUGUAAACCGCUUUCGCCUGUGACGAAGCGUGAGUGACGGUAAUGGGUAAAGAAGCACCGGCUAACUACGUG